rnacentral:misc_RNA from 1 species
AAAGUCGUAACAAGGUAACCGUAGGUGAACCUGCGGUUGGAUCAUUAAAAAAGUGGCAUGCUUUAGAGCGUGCCUUACUAGGGCGAAAGCCCUCUAAACCUUGUGCAAUUUGGCAGGACUUUGGGCCUGCCCAAGUAUAGACAACGCCUUUAAAAAGUCUGUGAAAGUGCACACGAAAGUGAACACAAACACCAAUGGAAAACAACUUUUGACAACGGAUCUCUUGGCUCUC